rnacentral:rRNA from 1 species
UGGUGAGUAACACGUAAGACAACCUGCCUACUAGAGGGGGAAGUAACAGUGAGAAAUCAUUGCUAAUACCGCAUAUGCUCACAGCAGCACAUGUUGCAGCGAGGAAAGGAGUAAUCCACUAAUAGAUGGGCUUGCGUCUGAUUAGAUAGUUGGUGGGGUAACGGCCUACCAAGUCAACGAUCAGUAGCCGGACUGAGAGGUUGAACGGCCACAUUUGGGACUGAGAUACGGCCCAGACUCCUACGGGAGGCAGCAGUCGGGAAUAUUGCGCAAUGGAGGAAACUCUGACGCAAGUGACGCCGCGUGCAGGAAGAAGGUUUUCGGAUUGUAAACUGCUUUAGUCAGGGAAGAUACAAGACAGUACCUGAAGAAUAAGCACCGGCUAACUAUGUGCCAGCCGCCGC